UGGCACAACUCUUUAAAAGAGUGGAUUGAGGCUAGUUUCAAGCUUGAAUACCAUUCUCGAACUGCCCCCUUGAGAGUAGUAGGGAACGCUCGAUAGAGGAUACCAUCCGUCACUCUGUGAAGGAGCAUUGCCAUCUUGGAAGCCUCCAGAUGAUUGAUGGGGUCGGUGGUCCCAUCAUAGGCCUCAAACUGAGGCACGUUAAAGUGCCGAGGAAGUGGCUUCUGCAUUCUCCUCAGGGC
rnacentral:lncRNA from 1 species